rnacentral:rRNA from 1 species
UACGUAGGGUGCAAGCGUUGUCCGGAAUUAUUGGGCGUAAAGAGCUCGUAGGCGGUUUGUCACGUCGGGAGUGAAAACUCGGGGCUUAACCCCGAGCCUGCUUCCGAUACGGGCUGACUAGAGGUAUGCAGGGGAGAACGGAAUUCCUGGUGUAGCGGUGAAAUGCGCAGAUAUCAGGAGGAACACCGGUGGCGAAGGCGGUUCUCUGGGCAUUACCUGACGCUGAGGAGCGAAAGUGUGGGGGAGCGAACAGG